GUGACUUUCCCAAAUAUUUCUCAAUGGUGAAAUUCUCCCAUCCCAGUCCUGCUUCCAACUCCCUUCUCUUACUGCGAUAUUGCCAAUUUAUUUCCCCGAAGCUCUGAUCUCUAGAGUGUGCUUUUCCCCCUUUUGUCGAGUCCUUUCAACAAAUACUUGUUUGGCAUCUACUGUGUUCCAGGUACUGCUUUGUCACUGGGGAAAUGAUUUAAUAUUGAGAAAAAAGUUGAUGUUGCAGGAGAAAUUAAGGAUACUCUCUGGAAUGAUGUCCUCGAUUAAGAGAGCAGCUGGAGCACAUCCUUAGCAAGUCAUGAUGGAGGCACGCAAGAGACAGUGAAACAUGAAAGGUCCCUGAAGGUGUAAGCUUGGAACUGGAACACCAGCACUUCUGCCUCAUACUAUUGGCUGAACUCCCUCCCAAUGUCCCUUCACAGGCUUUGACUUCAUACAUCUUCUGCUUGGUGGCUACUCCAGUCCUGACAUCUGCUUCCUAGAGGAGGAUAUGCACUAACACAACCCGCUUACUCUCUACUGCCUUUUUGUGCAAUUGUUGCAAUGUAUUUAUUUGCACUUUUUUUUAAAUUAAAGUAUGAUUGAUUUAUAAUA